CAAAAAAGCUACGCCACGGAAAAAGAAGGCGUAGCCCAUAGGCGUCCAUGGAACGGCGAAAAAUCAGCCCCCUCUCUGAGCGCCUCGCCCCGCCCCUAUGGCCCGAAGGAGCAUAGGAUGAGAACUAUCCCGGGGACCAAUCAGCAUGCGCGCCCGGCGUGGACGAGCCCCCCUCUCUGCACCCAAUCACCUGCGACCGCGCCCUACAAAACAUCCGGCCAGCGCCACCCAAACCCCCAGGUGCCCUGACUCUGGCGCUCCCACCUGGUGAUGACCGACGGAGCGCUGACAGGCACAUCCAGGGCAUGGCUGCUCCCCCGCGCCCCGCCCUCCCCAAACAUCUCUGACGGACGGUUGGCUGCAGCCCAGGAAGCACCGUCGCGCCGCGGCCUGCAUCCCAGCCCCGCCCCUCCGAGCGGGAAGGAGGGCUGUGUGGAAUGCUCCAGCUCCCUCGCCAGCCUAAACGCAAGCCCGCUCUUUCCAGUGCAAUAAAACGAGAUGUACAACAA